GGGUAGAGGUAGGGUUAGGUUUAGGGGUAGGGUUAGUGGUUGGGGUAGGGCUAGGGGAGGGUUAGUGGUUGGAGUAGGGUUAAGGUAGGGUAACCCUAACCCUAUUCCUAACCCUACCCCUAACCUUACCAUACCCCUAACCAUACCCUAAUGUUACACCUAACCCUACCAUAACCCUAUCCCUAACCCUACCCCUUACCCUACCCAUUCCCUAACAUUGCCCCUACCCUAACCUUACCCCUAACCUAAUCCUACCCCUAACCC